GGGGAAACAGAUAUCUUCUGGGUGGGAAUGAAGAGCAUUUUGGCUCAGUUGACCUGUUGAUCCACUUGCAGACUUUAUCUCCAGUUUAACCUGAUGUAGGAUGCAAACAACCUCUUAUCAUCUUGAAUCCCUGCAGUUGAGUCAUGAUAAGCACGUAGCUUAUUGAGACAUCCUGUUGCCAAAUAUUGGUAUUUGCAUUUACAUUUAUGCAUUUAGCAGACGCUUUUAUCCAAAGCGACUUACAGUGCAUUCAGGCUAUACAUUUUUUUACCUAACUUGUGUUCCCCUGGGAAUCGAACCCACAACCUUUUGCGUUGCUAACGCUCUACCACUGACCCACAGGAACAUAUUUAAAUUGUGAUAAGGGGGUGGACGCCACUGUCCAUUGAGUAGACCUUCGUGACCCAGCUUCAUUCAGUCUGUCACAGCAGGAUACUUUUAAAGUUUUUUCCACCACAUCCCCAAGACGAAUCUAAUUUUUCCCUCAUUGAUUUAACUAUCUUCUCUAAGGUAGAAAGUAAUGCUAUAAGAAAGGAGCUUGACAAACUUUGGUGGAUCUAGCAGGCUAAGCGAUCCAACAUCAUUCGUCCAUUCAUCAGUCCAUCAAAGCAGGAUGUUAGAGAGGUGCCCUGUGCUUCUUUACCAUAUCUCCAAGAUAUCCCCACUCAGUGAAUCAGCAAUCUUCAAUAAAGUAGAAGUUAAUUCUAGAAGAAAGGAGCUUGACGAUGUUUGGUGGAUCUACAGACUUGACCUGGAUCACCAGACCACUGUGGGAUGAUUAACUGGCAAUAGCAACAGGGGAAUACAAAGGUCUUAUGCUAGGAUGCAAAAACAGGCGCCGAUAUCCGCUGGUACCCUCGCUGCAGGAACAUUGGACUCAAACAUACCUGUAAUCUGAAUGUCACCUGGAGGAUUGUAGAAUAAAAAGAUAACAGUAAUAUUGUUGUCAUUAGUAUUUUGUUGUACAUCCAUAUUGUUGCCAUUGUUAUUUAUAUAUUACUUAAUAACAUAUUACAAUGUUGUCAGUCUGAGCAAAAUAAAUUAAUUUGAGGUUUUGCUUGGAACAUGGCAAUUAAUGGAGAUGGGAGAAUGAAGUUGGGAGAGAGUUGGAUUGCAAAAGCAUCUGUCCUGAGUACUUGUGGUAAACCAUUCCACACCAGCACUUAACAGCACUUGGGCUGCUGGGUUGAACAAUAGAAGAUCAUGUUACAAGCCAAGCUUGAUGCUCAUGAAAUCUUUAGCUGAGGCUGCUGUAGUGCACGCAAGCCACGUGUUUUGAAGUUUAUUAAUAAAUCUGUUUCUUGCCAUGAUGUGUGUCAUGGCUAGUUUAUUAGUAAGGGUGUUUACACCUUCUCCUAAACCGCAGUAUCACUCAUUGCCUCAAGCACAUCGUAAGUUUCACAACUGGUUGAGUAAGGUGUAAAGAGCUGAACAGAAAAAGUAGGAUUUUCAGUUUUCCUUUACUCUGUCAGCUGGAUUCCCCAGCCACAGUUUGACCUAACAUCUCUUGAGCCAAGUCUUCCAUUGUAUAGAAAGCUGGAUUGAAACAUCUGAAUGAGAAUGGAUUGUACUCAUUAAAAGUAACUCAGUGUCUCUGACCCUGUGUGCACUGGUCCAUAGACCAAAUCCCUGCUCUCCACACCCCUUCUGCUGUCUGUUUGAGGCACUUUGAUUAGCCUCAGCUGGAACAAUAACACCCUGCAUUACAGGUCUGCACUGGGUGGAGGACGAGGGAGAACUCCAGCGUUCUGUCAUAACGAAACAGUAGCACAGGGACGAUCUCUCUUGGUCCCUACACAGAAAAGGGAGGUGUUUUUGUUUAUCGACAGUACAGUGUUUUACUCAAUGUAGUGUUCCAGAAGAAAGUCAAGAUGUGUUUCCAUCUAUGAACCAAUGUGUCUCUUUCAGAAAGUGCCAGCUUAUAGUGCAACAUGAAAAUCAUUGACUGCCCGAUUUUAUUUUUGCGGUUCUGCUGAAAUGGUCCAGUGUCUCACUUCAACAUUAAGUAAGUUUGUGAGGAGCAGAAAGGGUUAAGGCCUCUUAAUUUAAAAACACACAUGGCUUUCAUCAAGACAUUAGAGAUUUGUAGAGGUGGUAGAUUAAAUCUGGAACUUGUGAUAUUCCUUGCAGAAAAAAAAAAAAAAUUCACUUGGCCUGUUUUGGUUGGUCACGCAGAUACACUUUGAAGUCUAGCAGCAAAUUUGCCACCCUGCCCUGCCAAAGCCUGAUCAACAGCAAUGCCUUUAUUCUUAUAAACACAUUUCAAAAUGAAAGCAGUGAGUAUAAUGUUUAAUUAGGGCUGUACACUUUUGCUCCAGGGUACAGAUUUGCCGUCCUUAAUAUGUUUGAGAAAGAUGUUCUUAGGGUGCUUGUUGACAGAACAUUGAGAGUGAAGCUUUCUCCGUUACACCUGCUUGGCGCAUUGGCUGGGGUUUCUUGUAAUUUUUAUGUACUUUGCAUUGAGUCAUUUCUUUCAGUUAAAUCCUUUUGAGGGGGCUUUGUUUGUUUAAAUCUUUAGUGCCUAUUAAAGAUACCAUUUAACAUUUUACAUGUCAGCACAAAAAAUGAAGGUGAU
ensembl:lncRNA